CAGGUAAUAGUCAGGACCAGUACUGGUCCUUCAGGCAUACUCCCUCCAGUCCCAGUGCUAGGAGUUUACUACAUAACUGAGGAGCAAAGGUGUGUUGUUUAGUAAAUUUUCCUCAGGAAACUAGUCUAAUGCAAGGUGAUUGCUGCAUGUGAUCUCAGAGUCUUUCCACCUCCUCUUACUGGCUUUUCCACCUCGCUAUGACCACCCUGUGAAAUCUCUAUGAAAUUAGCUAAUUUCAAAAAUACAAAGGUGGUUUUUUUUUGAGUAUAAUGGAGGUAGGAAAGGGACCAUAAUAGUGACCUCACUAAGGGAAAGCCUGCGGUAUUAGGCAAUCUUUUGUAAGACAUUAAAAAAAGUCCACAGAGGAAUGACCCCAAAAAUAUGGGGAGCAUAUUAUUGCAGUGUGCACUCUGCGAUACAGCAGAGAAUCCAACAAGAUGUGAAGGUACAGAGGAACAGUCCCUUCUACUUUGUUGCCCACAGAACUAUGGAAAAAACAAAGUACCCUGGAGCAACUCUUAACCCGGUGACCUAUUUGCAUUAGCAGGACACGCUUCCUCUGACACUGGGACGUACCCGAGUAAGAAGCCCUGCAGCCCCAGCACCAACUCCUCUACCCUCUCACAGGUCAACGGCACCUCGUCCUACCUCUCUGCUUAACGAAUGCACUACGCUGCACCAAUGCAAUGCUUUUGAAGCAAACGUCCAGCUUGUACCACAGAAGCCUUCCCAUUCCUCUUUUUCAGGCUUAUUCCUAAAUUUUGCUUGCACAAUUGCAGUCUCAAGAAAAAGAAAAACUUCACACCCCUACAGGCUCUGAGAAAAAUCCCUCCCCACACCCCGCAAGAGGACUUCUAAGGCUUUACACAAAAAUUUCAGCUGUUACUUUCUUUAAGCCACAGACCAUUCAUUCAAAGCAAGUCCUCCCCACCCCAACCCAACCAUGCAGAACUAUCAUUGCUUCGGCAUUUAAACACACACAUGCAGUUCAUGGAAUAAAUGCUCCGUGAAGUAAACUUGUCCUGAUCUG
rnacentral:lncRNA from 1 species